rnacentral:tRNA from 1 species
AGAUCGGUAUUUCAAUUGGUAGAAGAUACGCUUUGGGUGCGUAGGGUUGCAGGUUCAAGUCCUGUCCAUCUGA